rnacentral:lncRNA from 1 species
GGCACUGUUAAUUAUGCUCUUAUAUCACUUUUUAAAAAAUAUUUUUAGUUGUAGAUGGACAUGAUAUCUUUAUUAUUUUUUUUUUUUUUUGGUGCUGAGAAUUGAACCUAGUGCCUCACACGUGCUAGGCAAGUGCUCUGCCACUGAGCCAAAAUCCAGCCCCUGUACCAUGUUUUCAGUGUGUGCUUUGCCUUUGUCACAGGCUAGGCUCUGAGUCACUGUCACAGACCUCCCUCAAUGCUCCAGAAGAUGACCCAUCCUCUUUUGGACCAGCUGUGUCAGGAGACCUCUCAGUCCUCGCUUUCCCUAGCCUACUGGGUUAUGUUGGACACUUCUGUUUAUUUUGUCCUCUUGCAUCCCCAGCACCUACCCAGCCUCAGGCCUCUUCUCAUUGAUGAUGAAGCCUCCCCUAGUCUCAGACUAGAUCCUUGGGGUCACUCUGGACUCAGUUCGCUCCGAACCACCACUGCUCAUGUUUCUGCUUCCAACACCCUGGCCAAGCCAUAGGGUUGAGAGCCCCUACCUUAUUGGAGCACCAGGACCACCAAAGGAUGUCUAGGAGUGACUAUGGAUCUGUGGGUUGGGGUCUCCACAGGAGUGAGGGCCUUGAGCAAGACCACCUAGUCCCACACUGGUGGCCAUCCCCCUCCUUGUUAGAAGGGUGCUUGGGGAGGCAGCCUAGCCUAAUGCUUGUAAACCCACAUAACGCAUGUACCUUGGGUGUAGAACAUGCAGGAGCCCUGGUGAGCUGGCAUCCUCUGGCUCAGCAGCAUAGUCCAGAGUCCAUAUGUGGUCAUGGUCCAGAGUCCUCACUGGCUCCCCUGCACAGGUUUGACCAUGGGGACUCCCAGGGGCCUGGGUAAUGAAGGUUUGGGACCCUGAGCCCUUAGAGGGCAUCAGGUACUCUUUAUCUGGAGCUCAGAGACCUUUGGCACUUCCUAACUAGGAUUUUCUGGGCCCAUAGCCAGAGAGCCCUGCUGUGGCUAGGAAGGCCCAGGAACCAUGUGUUUGCUCAGGGCUUGGACAGGUUCCUGCACUGUAGGAUCAGAGUUCUGGCACGGAAGUGUGUGGAACAGCAGGCCUGUGGUGGGUGCUGCUCCUUGGGUCUCACCUCAGCAUGCUCUUCUCUGGCUCUGCAUGAGGACCAAGGACCCCUGGGGCUCCCCGCAGGAAGUCAGGAUCUGUCAGAGGCAAGGCCUGGCCCCUCACAUGUUCCCUCCCCUUCCACAGCCCCACAGGAACCUCCAAUUUCUGUCAUCCUCAGAGGCCCAAGAAACAAAGUGAUGGCAACUGCCAGACUCCUGCCACUGCCAGCAGAACAUCAGGUAAAUUGUCCUUAAGGCCUGUGUAGUAUCCCUGGCCACAGCCCCUAUGGUUUCUUCCAUGCCCAGGGACCCUGUGGCAGCCUGAGUAUCACUGCAUCCCCAGUACUAUGGCUUCUUCUUAUGAACCCCACCCUUGGCUCACAGGGUCCCACACUCAGCUGCCUGGGCAUAUUCCCACAACCCCAUCCUAGACAUCAAGAUUUGGUCUUACUCCAAGAACUCCUGUUGUUCCAGGCUAAGGUGACCUUCGAGGAUGUAGCUGUGCUCCUCUCUCAGGAGGAAUGGGAUCGCCUGGGCCCUGCGCAGCGGGGCCUCUACCGAAACGUAAUGAUGGAGACCUACGGAAACGUGGUCUCACUGGGUAAGUCCACCCACAUGCUUAAUCUGUGUGUUUCUGUGUGAGAUCGGUGGGGGCUCAGAGCAAGCUGGUCCUGGAGGCUCACCCACCUCCAGUGUGCUCCGCUGCAGCAGGAGGUCAGUCCUGUCUGUCUUCAUGUCCCCAAAGGUGGCAUAGGUUGGGUGGGAGUGUAUUUGGGUAGAUGUUGUAUAAACAAAAGGCUUCCUUCCCUCGAGCAGGACUUCCAGGAUCCAAGCCCAAUGUCAUCUCCCAGCUGGAACGAGGGGAAGACCCGUGGGUCCUGGACGGACAGGGGGCUGAAAGCCAGGGCUUGGGGAAUGGCCACUCAGGUAAGUGAGGGGAGCUGGCCCUUCUUUCAUUGAAGGCUGGGCCUAGGGGUUAUAAUGGCCUGUCAGGCCUCACAAGUAGGAGUUACUGGACUGGGUAGCAGUCCAUGGCAGGAAGUAGGUGUAGUGGUGAAUCUAAACCUGGUGGGUACAGCAGGGCUCAACCAGGUAGAGACAAAAUCAGGCCAUGGAUGAAUUUUUGUCCCUGCUCAGAGAGAAAAAC